UUAUCAAAGAAUAAAUUUCAUUUCAGUAACAACGUGUUCGGAAAAAUUAUUUUGUAAACAUUUGUACACUGCAAACACUUGCCAUUCAAAUGCGGCCUGGCAAAACGAAAAUAAGCCAUCUGGUGCUCCAGUCCAUAAUCGUCAUGGGUGGCUCCGCACCCAAAAAGGUGAUCCUGAAGGCGGUGAGCACCACUGCCAGCACCCAGGUGAGGAAAGUAAUCGGCCCAGUUAACAAGGCCCUCAAUGAGUUAAUCAGGAAGAGUAAAAUCCGCAAACAGGAGGAUAACUACUACAUUAAUACGGCAAGCACUACAAGAAAGACAAAGUACAAGAGACCAUUGAGAGUUUCGUCCAGGGAACUAUUUGAAUUUUAUACCUAAGAGGGAUUGCUGAUUAUACGAAAUGCAGCAUUUCUUAUGUAAAUUUUGGAAUUUCCAUAUUUUAACAAAUUUUAGUACUGCAUGAUUUUGUGGCCUCGCACCAAAUUGAAUACUUUUUGUUGCCACUUUUACAGCCUGAAAUGCUAAAACUGAAUAUUUCAAGAAAUUCGGCUGUGUUAUAUAUUUAUGCAUUUAUUUGAUUGCAAAAACGUAAAUUUAUAAGUGAUUGUCCUUUCAGGCUUCCAACUACUUUCGUACGAAAAAUAAAUUAAUAAUUAAAUGCAAA
rnacentral:sRNA from 1 species